GAUGAACGCUGGCGGCGUGCCUAAUACAUGCAAGUCGAGCGAACGGACGAGAAGCUUGCUUCUCUGAUGUUAGCGGCGGACGGGUGAGUAACACGUGGAUAACCUACCUAUAAGACUGGGAUAACUUCGGGAAACCGGAGCUAAUACCGGAUGAUAUUUUGAACCGCAUGGUUCAAAAGUGAAAGACGGUCUUGCUGUCACUUAUAGAUGGAUCCGCGCUGCAUUAGCUAGUUGGUAAGGUAACGGCUUACCAAGGCAACGAUGCAUAGCCGACCUGAGAGGGUGAUCGGCCACACUGGAACUUAGACACGGUCCAGACGCCUACGGGAGGCAGCAGUAGGGAAUCUUCCGCAAUGGGCGAAAGCCUGACGGAGCAACGCCGCGUGUGUGAUGAAGGUGCUCGGAUCGUAAAACUCUGUUAUUAGGGAAGAACAUAUGUGUAAGUAACUGUGCACAUCUUGACGGUACCUAAUCAGAAAGCCACGGCUAACUACGUG
rnacentral:rRNA from 1 species